UGCUGACUUAGUAUAAAUUUAGUAUGGGGGAUUGUAAAUCCUUAGGCAGGAUUUCUAGUUAGAAA
rnacentral:tRNA from 1 species